AUUAACGCUAGCGGCAGGCAUAAUACAUGCAAGUUGAACGGCAGCACAGGUAGCAAUACUGGGUGGCGAGUGGCGCACGGGUGCGUAACACGUAUGCAACCUACCCUAUACAGGCGAAUAACCUUUAGAAAUGAGGGCUAAUACGCCGUAGUAUUACAGAUGGGCAUCUAUUUGUAAUUAAAGAUUUAUCGGUAUAGGAUGGGCAUGCGUCCCAUUAGUUAGUUGGUAAGGUAACGGCUUACCCAGACGAUGAUGGGUAGGGG
rnacentral:rRNA from 1 species